UACGUAGGGUGCAGGCGUUUAAUCGGAAUUAUUGGGCGUAAAGCGUGCGCAGGCGGUUUCUUAAGUCAGAUGUGAAAGCCCCGGGCUUAACCUGGGAACUGCGUUUGAAACUGGGAGACUUGAGUGUGGCAGAGGGGGGUGGAAUUCCGACGUGUAGCAGUGAAAUGCGUAGAUAUGUGGAGGAACACCGAUGGCGAAGGCAGCCCCCUGGGUUAACACUGACGCUCAUGCACGAAAGCGUGGGGAGCAAACAGG
rnacentral:rRNA from 1 species